CCUACGGGUGGCAGCAGUGGGGAAUAUUGGGCAAUGGGCGCAAGCCUGACCCAGCAACGCCGCGUGAAGGAAGAAGGCCCUCGGGAUGUAAAGGUCUAGUAGUCGGGACGAAACAAAUGACGGUAACGAAUGAAUAAGCGACGGCUCACUACGUGCCAGCAGCCGCGGUAAGACGUAGGUGGCACGCGUUAUCCGGCUUUACUGGGUGUAAAGGGCGUGUAGGCGGGAGAGCAAGGCAGACGUGACAUUCCAGGGCUCAACCCUGGAACUGCUUUUGAAACUGUUCUUCUUGAGUGAUGGGUCGGCAGGCGGACUUCCGUGUGUCGCGGUGCAAUGCGUCGUUAUACGGCGGCCCACCAGUGGCGAAGGCGGCCUGCUGGACAUUACCUGCCGCUGAGGCGCGACAGCGUGGGGAGCCAACCGGAUUAGAUACCCGGGUAGUC
rnacentral:rRNA from 1 species